UGAGACCCAGCUUGCUGGGUGGAUUAGUGGCGAACGGGUGAGUAACACGUGAGUAACCUGCCCUUAACUCUGGGAUAAGCCUGGGAAACUGGGUCUAAUACCGGAUAGGAGCGUCCACCGCAUGGUGGGUGUUGGAAAGAUUUAUCGGUUUUGGAUGGACUCGCGGCCUAUCAGCUUGUUGGUGAGGUAAUGGCUCACCAAGGCGACGACGGGUASCCGGCCUGAGAGGGUGACCGGCCACACUGGGACUGAGACACGGCCCAKACUCCUACGGGAGGCAKCASUGGGGAAUAUUGCACAAUGGCGCAAGCCUGAUGCAGCGACGCCGCGUGAGGGAUGACGGCUUCGGGUUGUAAACCUCUUUCAGUAGGGAAGAAGCGAAAGUGACGGUACCUGCAGAAGAAGCACCGGCUAACUACGUGCCAGCAGCCGCGGUAAUACGUAGGGUGCGAGCGUUAUCCGGAAUUAUUGGGCGUAAAGAGCUCGUAGGCGGUUUGUCGCGUCUGUCGUGAAAGUCCGGGGCUUAACCCCGGAUCUGCGGUGGGUACGGGCAGACUAGAGUGCAGUAGGGGAGACUGGAAUUCCUGGUGUAGCGGUGGAAUGCGCAGAUAUCAGGAGGAACACCGAUGGCGAAGGCAGGUCUCUGGGCUGUAACUGACGCUGAGGAGCGAAAGCAUGGGGAGCGAACAGGAUUAGAUACCCUGGUAGUCCAUGCCGUAAACGUUGGGCACUAGGUGUGGGGACCAUUCCACGGUUUCCGCGCCGCAGCUAACGCAUUAAGUGCCCCGCCUGGGGAGUACGGCCGCAAGGCUAAAACUCAAAGGAAUUGACGGGGGCCCGCACAAGCGGCGGAGCAUGCGGAUUAAUUCGAUGCAACGCGAAGAACCUUACCAAGGCUUGACAUGUUCUCGAUCGCCGUAGAGAUACGGUUUCCCCUUUGGGGCGGGUUCACAGGUGGUGCAUGGUUGUCGUCAGCUCGUGUCGUGAGAUGUUGGGUUAAGUCCCGCAACGAGCGCAACCCUCGUUCCAUGUUGCCAGCACGUCGUGGUGGGGACUCAUGGGAGACUGCCGGGGUCAACUCGGAGGAAGGUGAGGACGACGUCAAAUCAUCAUGCCCCUUAUGUCUUGGGCUUCACGCAUGCUACAAUGGCCGGUACAAUGGGUUGCGAUACUGUGAGGUGGAGCUAAUCCCAGAAAGCCGGUCUCAGUUCGGAUUGGGGUCUGCAACUCGACCCCAUGAAGUCGGAGUCGCUAGUAAUCGCAGAUCAGCAACGCUGCGGUGAAUACGUUCCCGGGCCUUGUACACACCGCCCGUCAAGUCACGAAAGUUGGUAACACUCCGAAGCCGGUGG
rnacentral:rRNA from 1 species